CCUACGGGAGGCAGCAGUGAGGAAUAUUGGUCAAUGGCCGGAAGGCUGAACCAGCCAAGUCGCGUGAGGGACGACUGCCCUAUGGUUUGUAAACCCCUUUUAUAAGGGAAGAAUAAAUGCUACGUGUAGCAUGAUGCCUGUACCUUAUGAACAAGCAUCGGCUAACUCCGUACCAGCAGCCGCGGUAAUAGGGGGGAUGCGAGCGUUAUCCGGAUUGAUUGGGUUUAAAGGGUGCGUGGGGGGAUUUUUAAGUCAGCGGUAAAAUGUCCGGGCUCAACCCGGGCCGGCCGUUGAAACUGGGGAUCUUGAGUGGGCGAGAGGUAUGCGGAAUGCGGGGUGUAGCGGUGAAAUGCAUAGAUAUCAGGCAGAACUCCGGUUGCGAAGGCAGCAUACCGGAGCCCGACUGACGCUGAGGCACGAAAGCGUGGGGAUCGAACAGGAUUAGAUACCCCAGUAGUC
rnacentral:rRNA from 1 species